GAUGAACGCUGGCGGCGUGCCUAAUACAUGCAAGUCGAGCGAACAGACGAGGAGCUUGCUCCUCUAACGUUAGCGGCGGACGGGUGAGUAACACGUGGAUAACCUACCUAUAAGACUGGGAUAACUUCGGGAAACCGGAGCUAAUACCGGAUAAUAUAUUGAACCGCAUGGUUCAAUAGUGAAAGACGGUUUUGCUGUCACUUAUAGAUGGAUCCGCGCCGCAUUAGCUAGUUGGUAAGGUAACGGCUUACCAAGGCAACGAUGCGUAGCCGACCUGAGAGGGUCAUCGGCCACACUGGAACUGAGACACGGUCGAGACUCCUACGGGAGGAAGCAGUAGGGAAUCUUCCGCAAUGGGCGAAAGCCUGACGGAGCAACGCCGCGUGAGUGAUGAAGGUCUUCGGAUCGUAGAACUAUGUUAUUAGGGAAGAACAAAUGUGUAAGUAACUAUGCACGUCUUGACGGUACCUAAUCAGAAAGCCACGGCUAACUACGUG
rnacentral:rRNA from 1 species